rnacentral:rRNA from 1 species
GACGAACGCUGGCGGCGUGCUUAAUACAUGCAAGUCGAACGGAAAGGCCCUGCUCUUGCGGGGCGCUCGAGUGGCGAAGGGGGGAGUAACACGCGUGUAACCUGCCCUUGACUGUGGGAUAACUCCACGAAACUGGGGCUAAUAUCGGAUAUGAGCUCUUGCUGCACGGGGGGGGUUGGUAAGUUUCGGCGGUUGGGGAUGGACUCGCGGCUUAUCAGCUUGUUGGGCGGGUAGUGGCGUUCCACGGCUUUGACGGGUAGCCCGCCUGAGAGGGUGACCGGCCACCUGGGUCCUGCGGUACGCCCCAGUAUCCUACGUGCGGCAGCAGUGGAGAACAUUGCGCAAUGGCCGGAAGCCUGAUGCAGCAGCGCCGCGUGCGGAAUGACCGCCUUCGAGUUGUAAACCGCUUUCGAAUGUACCGAGGCGUGAGUGACGGUAACGGGUCAGAAAGCACCGGCUAACUACGUG